rnacentral:tRNA from 1 species
GGUGGCUCAGUGGUAGAGUGCUUGUCUUGCAUGCAUGAGGCCCUAAGUUCGAAUCCUUAGCACCA